UUUAUACAGUGGAGCUGCCCUGGUUAUCACUCAACAAGAAUGACCAUCCAAGGACAACAACAAGCAUCACAGGAUCAAAAAGGAUUCUAGAGACAAGAGGGAGGAUCCAACCUGAUACGCACAGGUGCCAUGAUUGCUCAAAGGCACACUUAUUUCAGCCACGAUUAAUCAUCAUCGCCCUAGCACGAACGCCACUGAUCAGUCUAGCAAAUCCAGGAGCAUAGCUAUAGGACCAGGGCAUCCACAUGUAAACCAGAGCAUCACAUGAGCUCCCAUGAUAGCAACUAAACAUGAACAACAGCCUGCAAACUCUAAAAUGGCAUGGAUCCACAACUACAUAGCUCAAGUAGGAACCGAUGGAUGAGUAGGGCAUAGAGCAUCAACCAAACGAGCCCCACAUCAAUAUAGUCAUGGCCAUAGCCCAUAAGAAGAUGGAGCUCACUGAGGGAGGUUGUAGCCGAGGCAGUACUCAGUGGGCAUCGGGGUUGCGCCUGAACGCCAUCCAGCCGACGAGGAACUACUUCCUACACCGCACAUCCAUGCCGUCGUCGGAGUUACGCCUUGCACUGUCCCACCGACGAGCACGGAUGCCACGGGCACCGAAGCGGCCAAGGAGCCUUAAGAGCACUGCAUGUGAGAUAAAAAGCCAAAACGAGAUAACCAGGUCAAAAUCCUAGCCGAGACUUUUAACGGUUCUGCAAAUUCGGUCCAAAUAGCAUGAAUAAGAAAAUGUACAACUGUUAUUCCAAAGACCUGGAAAGAAUUAACACUUCCACAAAAUCGAGAAAAUAAAAAUCAUGUAAUACUGCUUAUCAGCCGGUAUAUGGAUUGAAACUUACCUCAAAAUAAUGUAUGCAUUCAGAUUUAACUACGCAUGCUUUCAUCCCAGUUUUCUUCUAACCAGAUUGUCUAAGACACCAUACUCAAAAUGCUAAUUAAGAGAAUCAUGUGAACUAUCAUGAAACAAGACACGGACAACACCUUUGUAUCAUCUACUUUAAGCUGGAAUACAUCAGACUCACAUCUAAAAGAGAAUCGCUUUGGACAAAUAUUACGUAGCCGCUUCAACAUAAAAAAUAUGGAAGAUAAAAGACAUUUUUUAUAGUUACUCCUUUUAGUUUAAAACUAUGAGAUAACACGAAUGGAAAAAAAAUGAGGCAGAAUUUCAGAACUACUCCAAUAAAAUGGCAUUCAAAUCUUCGAAUGUAUAGCUAUUUUUUGCUGUUUGGCACAUCGAUUUUAGUUGUAUAUACCAGAGGUCAAUACAUUUAAGAAAUGAGGAGAAAUGAAAGAGAUGGUGAGUACUGAUGAACAUGCAUGGCCAAUGUCUAAAGAUACUAAUCACAAUCAAAUUUCCCUAUGGAGGUUAACUGAUUAUCACGAACACGUGGGAAAGAAGGUCGCAGCUCACCCACGUCAUAGAGCUGGCAUAAAAAGUAGGAGCUCAUCAUUUCCCAUUACUCCUGAAAAAUUGUAAAGCAAACAAAAAUUAGUGCUUUGCGACUGACUAGCAAGAACUAGAAAACAAAUUAUUAUAACCAAAGGUGCUCUGAACCCAAAUCUUUUCUUCAUAAACAUGGAGAAACUCUCGUGAAGCACGCCAUAUAAAAAGAUAUUAUAAGAAAGAACACCAGAUAUGAGCUAACAAAAUUAAGUUUAGAAUAUAUGCUAGCAAAUCAAUAAUUGUACAAAAUUAUUGUGGGCCAAAUCAAAUUCAUAUAGGCCACUAACUAAACUGGCAGGAACUAAACUCUUGUAUUUUAACCAAUUGUUCCACAUUAGUCUGAAGCUCUUGUUAUUUCAUUUUUCCAAAUUAGGACUAUCAUUGUAUAAACUGAAUAUGCUUAAAGCCUCUAUCUGAUUUAGCCAAAGCAGGAGAGCAUCUAAUAUAAAAAAAGCGGGGAUCGGCAGCAGUGGUCGCAUUCGGUCACCGGCAACCAUGGAGAACCCCACGGACGCCUCUCUACGGGUCAGCAAUGAGACCGACAGUAUUAUAAGAGCGUUUAGAAAUACUUUACAGAGGGAAUAUUAAGCAAAGAGAACAUUUUCCCUCCAAAGAUUAAAAGACACAGGCACCAAACAGAACAAACAAGCAAACAUAUUCUCAAUUUUCACACAAAAAAAUAGGUAGAGAAGACUGGUUAUACUCAUUUAUUUAAACUGAAUAUGCUUAAAGCCUCUAUCUGAUUUAGCCAAAGCAGGAGAGCAUCUAAUAUAAAUAAAUAGCGGGGGGUCCAAAGAGAAGGGGGCGAAUGGGAGCACGAAGAGGCAAGCCAACCGCCCUCGCUCACCUCAUCGACGCGCGGAUCAAGUACUGAAGCUAGUCAAAAUUCGAAAUAGUUGGCAGUGCACCAAUCCAAAUUAGUACCACCAACGACAUCUAGUCUUUAAUAUGUACAUAUCCUUCCAACCUAGUACUAUUAAGCAACUAUAGUACUACUGUGAAUUGAAAACCAAAGAAUCAUUACAACGUAGAGGCUCUGUUCUUUUAAGGUACAAGCAAGCAAUAGGAAACAUAUUAAAAAGAUGACUACAAAAUGUUGGAAUAUUAGGCAAGUUCAUGAUUAAUUCCAGUAAAUAAUUCAUGACUAGAAGAGAUACUAGCAUGCAAUAAUCUAGCAAACUAGAAGAACAGCAAGACAUGCAUAACAGCAGCAAACACGUAACAAUAGCUGUAGAAACAGACAUGAACAGAGGAUGUUGGACAUACUGAUCGUUAGCUAUUAUGGGUGCGACAGUGUUGAUGACGAUGUUGGCGACGAUCUGC
rnacentral:lncRNA from 1 species